GCCUACGGGAGGCAGCAGUGGGGGAUAUUGCACAAUGGGGGGAACCCUGAUGCAGCGACGCCGCGUGGGUGAAGGAGCGUUUCGGCGCGUAAAGCCCUAUCGGCAGGGAAGAAGAUGACGGGACCUGACCAAGAAGCCCCGGCUAACUACGUGCCAGCAGCCGCGGUAAUACGUAGGGGGCAAGCGUUAUCCGGAUUUACUGGGGGUAAAGGGGGCGCAGACGGCAAUGCAAGCCAGGAGUGAAAGCCCGGGGCACAACCCCGGGACUGCUCUUGGACCUGCUUGGCGGGAGGACA
rnacentral:rRNA from 1 species